AGUGAACGCUGGCGGUAGGCCUAACACAUGCAAGUCGAACGGCAGCACAGUAAGAGCUUGCUCUUACGGGUGGCGAGUGGCGGACGGGUGAGGAAUACAUCGGAAUCUACUUUUUCGUGGGGGAUAACGUAGGGAAACUUACGCUAAUACCGCAUACGACCUACGGGUGAAAGCAGGGGAUCUUCGGACCUUGCGCGAUUGAAUGAGCCGAUGUCGGAUUAGCUAGUUGGCGGGGUAAAGGCCCACCAAGGCGACGAUCCGUAGCUGGUCUGAGAGGAUGAUCAGCGACACUGGAACUGAGACACGGUCCAGACUCCUACGGGAGGCAGCAGUGGGGAAUAGUGGACAAUGGGCGCAAGCCUGAUCCAGCCAUACCGCGUGGGUGAAGAAGGCCUUCGGGUUGUAAAGCCCUUUUGUUGGGAAAGAAAAGCAGCAGGUUAAUACCACGCUGUUCUGACGGUACCCAAAGAAUAAGCACCGGCUAACUUCGUG
rnacentral:rRNA from 1 species